AGGGCAAGUCUGGUGCCAGCAGCCGCGGUAAUUCCAGCUCCCAUAGCGUAUAUUAAAGUUGUUGCAGUUAAAAAGCUCGUAGUUGAAUUUCGGAGUUUGUCGGUUGGUCGGGCUUCACUGUCCGCACUGGCCUGAUGGAUUCCUACCUUCUGAAUAACCGGCAUGCUAUUAAUUUAGUGCGUUGGGGAAGCAGAGCUAUUACCUUGAAAAAAUUAGAGUG
rnacentral:rRNA from 1 species